rnacentral:sRNA from 1 species
GAUGCCAGGGUCCCAAGGUCUAAGCCCGCAUGAGCUUGCUCAUAAGCGGGUGAAAGACCUUAGGACCCGCCCCGAUAUGAGCAUAAAAGCGGGAUAUAUCUCCCACGAUAUGCGAAUAUCGGGGUGGAUUGUGGAAGUGCGAAGCACGGAACAAUCCACAGGC